AUAAAAUAUGUUAGUUUUUCAAUUUUUUUCACCGGUUUUAAAAAGUGGUUUCACAUUCAAUAAAGACAUGUGAACCCUGAUAAAGCUAGUGGAAAUAUCGGAAAACAUUGUUAGGAGCAUAU
rnacentral:precursor_RNA from 15 species